GCCCGGCUAGCUCAGUCGGUAGAGCAUGAGACUCUUAAUCUCAGGUCGUGGGUUCGAGCCUCACGUUGGGCG
rnacentral:tRNA from 1 species